ensembl:lncRNA LINC01609 long intergenic non-protein coding RNA 1609
GGCAGAGAGGGAAGGAACCAACAGGUAUAUGAAGAAGACUGUAUUUCCUCCUCAGGAAGAAAAAAUCACCUAUAAGAUCCAUGGCUAUAACUGCUACCAAGCUCUGGGCUGCAGUAGUGUAUCAUCCAUAACGCAAAUAAGAAUACAACAUAUAGCAUUGAUACAAAGGAUGCACUAAAGGAUGGACACAAAUGAAAGAACUGAGACAUGAAUUUGUUCUUAAGAAAAUUAUUCUCCAUUCUUUGAGAAGUCAACUGAAUAGGAUGAAGAAACUGCUCUAUGUUAUCAAGUUUUUAAAUUUUGUAUUUACUUAUUUACUUUUGUUGUUACUUAAAUCAACUUUAAAAUAAAAUAAAAUUUAUAUUUGAGUACAAAA